rnacentral:rRNA from 1 species
UGGGGAAUCUUGCACAAUGGGCGAAAGCCUGAUGCAGCGACGCCGCGUGGGGGAUGAAGCAUCUCGGUGUGUACACCCCUUUCGAUACGGACGAAUGCCCGCAAGGGAGUGACGGUACGGAUAUAAGAAGCCCCGUCUAACUACGUGCCAGCAGCCGCGGUAAGACGGAGGGGGCCAGCGUUGUUCGGAAUUACUGGGUGUAAAGGGUUCGUAGGCGGUGCGGCAAGUUGGGAGUGAAAUCUCUUGGCUUAACCCAGAGGCUGCUUCCAAAACUGCUGUGCUCGAGUGUGGGAGAUGCGCGUGGAAUUGCAGGUGUAGCGGUGAAAUGCGUAGAUAUCUGCAGGAACACCCGUGGCGAAAGCGGCGCGCUGGACCACUACUGACGCUGAGGAACGAAAGCUAGGGGAGCAAACAGG